UGGUUGGGAGGGCGUGUGGUUGGUUUCAGUCGCUGUAGCUACUGGGGUCCGCUUGGGUUUAAACCCCAGCCCAGCUU
rfam:Ailuropoda melanoleuca scaffold2145_34, whole genome shotgun sequence.